rnacentral:rRNA from 1 species
ACCGUACUCCUCCGGGAGGCAGCAGUGGGGAAUUUUGGACAAUGGGGGCAACCCUGAUCCAGCAAUGCCGCGUGAGUGAAGAAGGCCUUCGGGCUGUAAAGCUCUUUUGUCAGGGAAGAAACGGUAGUAGCUAAUAUCUAUUACUAAUGACGGUACCUGAAGAAUAAGCACCGGCUAACUACGUGCCAGCAGCCGCGGUAAUACGUAGGGUGCAAGCGUUAAUCGGAAUUACUGGGCGUAAAGCGUGCGCAGGCGGUUGUGUAAGUGAGAUGUGAAAUCCCCGGGCUCAACCGGGGAGUUGCAUUUGAGACUGCACGGCUAGAGUGUGUCAGAGGGGGGUAGUAUUCCACGUGUAGCAGUGAAAUGCGUAGAUAUGUGGAGGAAUACCGAUGGCGGAGGCAGCCCCCUGGGAUAACGCUGACGCUCAUGCACGAAAGCGUGGGGGGCAAAGAGGAUUAGAUACUCUUGUAGUCAUUGAC